GAUGAACGCUGGCGGCGUGCCUAAUACAUGCAAGUCGAGCGAACGGACGAGAAGCUUGCUUCUUUGAUGUUAGCGGCUGACGGGUGAGUAACACGUGGAUAACCUACCUAUAUGACUGGGAUAACUUCGGGAAACCGUAGCUAAUACCGGAUAAUAUUUUGAACCGCAGGGUUCAAAAGUGAAUGACGGCUUUGCCGUCUCUUUUAGACGGUUUCGCGUUGCAUUAGCUAGUUGGUAAGGUAAAGGCUGACCAAGGCUACGAUGCCUAGCCGACCUGAGAGGAUGAUCGGCCACACUGGAACUGAGACACGGUCCAGACUCCUACGGGAGGCAGCAGUGGGGAAUAUUCGGCAAUGGGCGAAAGCCUGACGGAGCAACGCCGCGUGAGUGAUGAAGGUCUUCGGAUCGUAAAGCCCUGUUAUUAGGGAAGAACAGAUGUGGAAGUAAAUGUGGACGUCUUGACGGUACCUAAUCAAAAAGCAACGGCUAACUACGUG
rnacentral:rRNA from 1 species